GCCAGGAGCAGCAGGAUCCGCCUCCCCAGACCUGUGCUCAGCCAGAGCAAGGCAGAGGAUGGCCAGAGGACUAAGAGGGCAGAGAGAGGACAGGACUGGACGACCAGCUGCAGAGAGGAGUACCCUCUCCGCUGAGCACAUCAGAGACCGGCAGAGACGUCCAAAUGACUUGCCUGUGGAGAGGAGCCACCCUCUUCAGGGCCUCCUCUCUGUUAAGAGCUGAACGCUCGGCUGGACCACCUGCCUACAGAGAGGAGCUGCCCACUCUUCUGAGCUGUUCUAAACUAAAUAAAAGUCCUCUUCUUCACCCUUCACUUUUCUGCGUACCUCAUUCUUCCUGGAUGCAGGACAAGAACUUGAACAAAGGCGCUGUGGCCACAGAGGUUUCCAGCCGGAAAAAUCGGCACCUCAGAGAUCUCAUAACAAUGCUACUAGCUCGCUAGGGCGGGUUCAGAGGGAGAGGGAGAAAAAACAGUAGAGAAGGGCCAAGCAAUAAGGUAGAGAAAGUACAUCAACAAAAAUAGUUUACAUGAGCACAUGUUUGCAUUUAUGACUGUACAGAUGUAAACAUGAAAAUGUUUUCAUGUUGAAGAACGAAACCUAUCUUCUUUAUUGUGGGAGAAAAAAAGCAUUCACAUCCCUGACAGAUGCAGAGGACAGGGGACUGCAAGCACCAACAGGGGAGGCAGAAGACCCUGUCCUUGCCUCAAAUCCAGUAAUGCCUUUCUGUAGACUGCGUCUGGUCUGGACAUCUCCCCCAUUGAGAUUUGGCCAGAAACAAGGGGAAAAGAAGGUUCCUGUGACCAUCCUGGCAUGGGGGCUGGAGCCAGAGGCUGGGGGCUGCCACCACAUCUUCUGGGAG
rnacentral:lncRNA from 1 species